rnacentral:rRNA from 1 species
AUGGCUCAGGACGAACGCUGGCGGCGUGCCUAAUACAUGCAAGUCGAACGGUCUUUCUAUGGAAGCUUGCUUCCACUGAGAAGAUAGUGGCGAACGGGUGAGUAACACGUGGGUAACCUGCCCAUAAGAGGGGGGAUAACAUCCGGAAACGGGUGCUAAUACCGCAUAGUUUUCUUGAUCGCAUGAUUGGGAAAGGAAAGACGGCCUUUGUGCUGUCGCUUAUGGAUGGACCCGCGGCGUAUUAGUUAGUUGGUGAGGUAACGGCUCACCAAGACGAUGAUACGUAGCCGACCUGAGAGGGUGAUCGGCCACAUUGGGACUGAGACACGGCCCAAACUCCUACGGGAGGCAGCAGUAGGGAAUCUUCCGCAAUGGACGAAAGUCUGACGGAGCAACGCCGCGUGAGUGAAGAAAGGUUUUCGGAUCGUAAAACUCUGUUGUCAGAGAAGAACAAGUUGGAGAGUAACUGCUCCAGCCUUGACGGUAUCUGACCAGAAAGCCACGGCUAACUACGUGCCAGCAGCGGC